rnacentral:rRNA from 1 species
CCUACGGUGAGCUGCAGUGGGGAAUAUUGGACAAUGGGGGGAACCCUGAUCCAGCGACGCCGCGUGAGUGAAGAAGUAUUUCGGUAUGUAAAGCUCUAUCAGCAGGGAAGAAAGAAAUGACGGUACCUGACUAAGAAGCCCCGGCUAACUACGUGCCAGCAGCCGCGGUAAUACGUAGGGGGCAAGCGUUAUCCGGAUUUACUGGGUGUAAAGGGAGCGUAGACGGCGAUGCAAGUCUGAAGUGAAAGGCGGGGGCCCAACCCCCGGACUGCUUUGGAAACUGUAUGGCUGGAGUGCAGGAGAGGUAAGUGGAAUUCCUAGUGUAGCGGUGAAAUGCGUAGAUAUUAGGAGGGACACCAGUGGCGAAGGCGGCUUACUGGACUGUAACUGACGUUGAGGCUCGAAAGCGUGGGGAGCAAACAGGAUUAGAUACCCUGGUAGUC